UACGGAGGGUGCAAGCGUUAUCCGGAUUUACUGGGUUUAAAGGGUGCGUAGGUGGGUAGGUAAGUCAGUGGUGAAAUCUUCGAGCUUAACUCGGAAACUGCCAUUGAUACUAUUUAUCUUGAAUACUCUGGAGGUAAGCGGAAUAUGCCAUGUAGCGGUGAAAUGCUUAGAUAUGACAUAGAACACCAAUUGCGAAGGCAGCUUACUACAUAGUUAUUGACACUGAGGCACGAAAGCGUGGGGAGCAAACAGG
rnacentral:rRNA from 1 species